AAUAAUAACUGCUGCUGUGAAGAGAACCAUUCUCACUCUGAAUGCUGAACAUCAGCUACUUUCUCCUCUUCAUUUCAGCCUCGUUGUACACAUGGAACAUUGGCUGUGGAUUAUUCUUGCUGCUCUUUGCUUUGAGUGUAAAGGAGAAGACAGAGUGAUCCAGCCAACAGCAGAUGUCAUUGCUACUGAAGGAGACACAGUUACACUGGACUGUACAUUUGAGACCAGUUACUCAGGUUCCACUUUGUUCUGGUACAAACAAGAAGUAAAUGAUUUCCCCAAACUUGUGCUUCAACGUUUCUCUGGAGGAACAAGUAAUUAUGAAGAGCAAGAAAGAAUUGAUGCUACAGUCAACAAGACAUCAGUUCCUCUGAAGAUCCAGAAGCUUCAGCUGUCUGACUCUGCUGUGUACUACUGUGCUCUGCAGCCCACAGUGACAGGAAACAGCAAAACUCUGCACAAAAACCUCUGCAGCAAACACAACACAAUACUCCACAACGUCCACUAGAGGGAGUCACACACUGCUCAAUUUCAACGGGAUGUGAUGAUACAGCCUGGAAUCACUGUCCUCUCAGACAUGAUUAUGAUGGAUAGCUGAGUUGAGUUCAACAAAUAAAUCUGACCUUGAGCAUUAUCCUGCUUGUACCAUGGUCACCUGCCCCCCAAAACAGAAUCUAUUAAGAAUUUCUUGAGUUCUGCAAGUUUUUCACAAGCCAUAAAUCAGUUUCCUUGGUAACACCUGAUGCCUCGAACAAUCUUUACAAUCCCAUGUAGUCUCACAGCUGCAGACACCGCAUCCCCAGGCCCUCCUCCUCAUCUCUGGAGAUUUCAACCACACUUCCCUGUCUUCAACUCUCCCCACCUUCACCCAGUAUGUCAAAUGCCACACCAGAGACAAUAAAAAACUGGACUUACUUCUGCAAACACGAAGGAUGCUUACAGCUCCUUUCCCUUCCCAUCAACCUCUGCAUAUCUGACUUCAGAUAUAACAUGGACAGCUGCCACAUCCAAAAGUUCUCCGAUGAUACAGACAUCAACGCAAGCAAGACCAGGGAGAUAGUGAUAGACUUCUGUAGAAAGGAGUCACAGAUGCCACCAGUGAGCAUCCAGGUUUGGACAUUGACAUCGUGGGGGAGUACAAACCCCUGGGUGUCCACCUCAACAAUAAACUGGACUGGACUACCAAUACAGAUGCCCUGUACAGGAAGGGCCAAAGUCAUCUGCAUCUGUUAAGAAAGGUCCUUUGGAGUUUGUAGGAUACUGUUGAAACAUUUUAUGACUCUGUGGUUGCAUCUGCAGUCUUUUACGCAGUGGUCUGCUGGGGCUGUGGAAGCUCUGAUAGGGACAGAAAGAGACUUAACAAAGAGAGUCAGGAGAGCUGGAUCUGUCCUGGACUGCCCUCUGGACACCAGUAGGUGGGAGGAGGAUGUUAUCCAAGCUGACAUCCAUCAUUGACAACCCCUCCCACACCCUGUAUGACACAGUGGUGGCCCUUCGCAGCUCCUUCAGCAACAGACUGCUGCAUCCACCCUGUAAGAAGAAACGCUACUGCAG